rnacentral:rRNA from 1 species
UACCGAACACGGAAGUUAAGCCCUCCAGCGCCGAUGGUACUUGGGCUUAAGCCCUGGGAGAGUAGGUCGUUGCCAGGC